UGCGGCUUCCGCGACCACAAGUACUGCUGCGACGACCCGCACAGCUUCUUCCCCUACGAGCACAGCUACAUGUGGUGGCUCAGCAUUGGCGCUCUCAUAGGCCUGUCCGUAGCAGCAGUGGUUCUUCUCGCCUUCAUUGUUACCGCCUGUGUGCUCUGCUACCUGUUCAUCAGCUCUAAGCCCCACACAAAGUUGGACCUGGGCUUGAGCUUACAGACAGCAGGUGGUUCCUAACUUCCUGGCAACAACCACAAUUGUAAUUCGUUCAAAGAGAUUGACUGCUGUGGAGACAGAUCAUCACCAUCACCAUCACCAUCACCAUCACCACCACCACCAUCAUCAUCAUUGUCAUCGUCAUCAUUAUGUUGCUUUUAGCUCACUGGAGCCUCACAGAACCCUGUGAGGUAGGUAUUACCUCAGUUUACCAAAUGAGAAAACUGGGGCUCGGAGGGGGUUUCAUGGCUGUCCCAGACUUACAAAGCAAGUCAGAACCAGAAUCAUAUCUAAAUCUUC
rnacentral:lncRNA from 1 species